rnacentral:ncRNA from 2 species
AGACCUCACCAGGGGUGUCCCGACAAGGGGCUGAGAUUCUGCCGGGCCGCAAGGCAGCGCAGGGACCCGAAGAACCUGAUCCAGUUCAUACUGGCGGAGGGAUGGUGCGGAUGGCCGGCC